rnacentral:rRNA from 1 species
UGGGGAAUAUUGCACAAUGGGGGAAACCCUGAUGCAGCGACGCCGCGUGCGGGAUGAAGGCCUUCGGGUUGUAAACCGCUUUUGAUUGGGAGCAAGCUUUCGGGUGAGUGUACCUUUCGAAUAAGCGCCGGCUAACUACGUGCCAGCAGCCGCGGUAAUACGUAGGGCGCAAGCGUUAUCCGGAAUUAUUGGGCGUAAAGAGCUUGUAGGCGGUUCGUCGCGUCUGGUGUGAAAGCCCAUCGCUUAACGGUGGGUUUGCGCCGGGUACGGGCGGGCUAGAGUGCAGUAGGGGAGACUGGAAUUCCCGGUGUAACGGUGGAAUGUGUAGAUAUCGGGAAGAACACCAAUGGCGAAGGCAGGUCUCUGGGCUGUUACUGACGCUGAGAAGCGAAAGCGUGGGGAGCGAACAGG